rnacentral:lncRNA from 1 species
UUUCAACUGUUUUCUUCAUCCAUUCCAUACAAAGACAGAUAUGCUGAGAAAGCAGUGCAGAUACAGAGCCAAUAAGGCACUAAUCCUUCUGUAGAAGAUCAAGAAAUUAUUUUCAAAGGUUGAGCAAACAGCCUUCUGUAGUACUCAUGACACUGGGAGGAAAAAAGGAAAUUCUACCAUUACCCAACGUGCAAAAAUUGACCACUGGCAAAAUGACUGUCACUUGUGUGACUUCCUUAACCCACAUGAAACAACAGGACAGAGCAGUUCCAUCAAAGAUCAAGCAACGGAGCUCUCUAAGCUGCAACCGGCCAGGAGAGACAAGCACCUUGAAGCUCCGGGGCAGUCCAGGGCCACUCCCACGGCAAGGGUGGCAUCCUGGAACCAAUCUUUCGUGGAUACUGAGGGACAGUUAUACAUAAUUAAAUGUCUCUUGACAACUUAUCUAUCCAUGUUCCAGAUUAUGGUUGCCUCUGGAAAGAAUUACGUUACCUGUUGAGCUCUUGAAGUAUUUGAGUUGGGAAGAUUAGAGAUCAGAAGAAGUAGAUACCACACAUCACCAGGAAAAUUCUGCAGGUGGAAAUGAUGAGAGAUAGCUCUAAAAGUUAUACUUAUUUUGAUUUUAUAAACCACCUUGUAGAGUGAAAUGGUAUGUGUAGAAUGUCAUCGAAAGCAUUUAGAGCCACCUUCAGAAAAAUGAGAAACUUCUAACUCUGGAGGGCUCUGGAAGGAAGAUCAUUGGUCUUUGAAACUUCAGUGCCAUGCUGACCCACACAGAAUCCUCCAGAGCCCUCCCCAGUUCAUGUUGUCCCUCCAAAUAACAGCGGAGGAGUGGAAAAGGUACAGCACAAAGAUGGAAAAGCACAGAAAUCUCCACCACACCAGGAGCUUUGAGGAGACCCUGCAUUCUGCUGCUCUGGCUCUGUGGGAAAUGAGGAAAGUAUCUCAUUUCAUGACUGUGUUUUAACAUGAAAAAUGACCCAUAUUCUUUCUCCAUUAAACUGUUAGUACAUCCUAGCAUCAUGGGUUUUAA